AUUGUGCUGGGUGCGGUACACACAUUAUCUCAGUCUUCUAAGACCUGUGUCAUCUUUGUUGUUUUUGUAGAUAUUGAUACAAAUGGCCAGAGAGAUCAUUGGCCCAAGGUCACACAGUAAGGGGUUCAUGCUGAUAUUUUCAUCCAGUCUAUCUGAUGACAAAAUUAUCCCCCGACAGCACUGGGGCAUUCCCGAAAGAAUAGAAUCUGUCUGGACAAAUACGUGAGCUGCCAUUUGGAGCUCUGGGGAGAAGGGAGCCACAUCAGCCAGUAGGUUUUUCGUUGUGGGAAAGAGUCAGCUUCCUCGGGUUUCCCCUUGACCCAAACCCACUCGACCCUCAGGCACUGACCAUGUUAUUCCAGAGAGCGAUGGCCAUCUCAGCAUGCCCGCGUUCUGAGAAGUGGAAACAGUCCUCGGAGAAGAAGUUCCUUUGGAUUUCCACACCAUUCCCCAUCUCCUCACUUCUCCCACUUGCAACAAAACAGGACGGGGGAGACAAAUAUGGACAGGACUAGUUCUUCCUUCACCUCCUGGAUACCUGCCACGAACGAGGAAUUGAAUGCUUCUGGAUAAGAGACAGAAAAUAAUUCUUCCUGCUUAUGAUGUUGAGGACCUGACAUCGCUUCCUGUGGCUCAGAGGCUCAAAGCGAGCGUGGGGCCCUCCUUACUGCGUCUGAAAGGAACUUUCCCUGCAAACGGGUACCCACGUCUACUCACCGAGCUCUGGCCCCUCCCACUGCUGCAUUCAGCCCGGCGGUCUCCUCCCGGGUGCCGGUGGAGAAGCCGAAGAUUUUGGGGUUGAACUUCUUCAGAAUGUCUUUGAAGAGGGAAGGAGCAGAGAGCACAGUCCCAGCAUAUCAUCCCAGGCCAAGAGAUUUUGAGAACACAGUGUUAGCAUUCAGCCCACCAGUAGAACCUUCCAAAGGACAGGCCACGAAUCAAAGUCUUGGCUAUUCUUCAUUCAAGGGAAGGCUUGGAAUGAAGUUGACUAUUUCACACUAUGGUGGUCAGGGGCUUAAGUCAAAGGUUCAAUAGCCUCAAGUGGUGGAGAGAAAAAGAAACCAGGUGUAGGUGGAUGGACUUCACAGAAGAGUGUGAAUCCCCCCCCGACGGCCCAUCGGGAACACCUGCCCACAUUCCCACCCUGCCUUGCAGGGCUGGUCCCAGCUCGGGGGCCGCCCACUGCAUUGGCGGCUGAGCCGAAAGGAAGCAACAAGCGGAUACCUGCACAGCGUUCUUGUAGGUGCUCAGAAAUGGCCAAACCUGUGAGGGGAAGGGGGGUGGUGAGCCACCGCAGCAAGCUGACUUGCUUCUUGCUCUGCUCCGGUGCGCAGAAACACUUUCCACAUUCCCAAGCCCCCUGCCGCCAGGCUGACCGCUGGGCUCCCUCCCAGGACGUACCCGGCCGUCUCUGCAAACCUCUUGAACAACCGGAAUAAACCCUG